UAACUUGUAGCUUAUACUAAAGCGUUUGCCUUUUAAGCAAAAUAAGGUCUACCCUGGUUAU
rnacentral:tRNA from 1 species